rnacentral:rRNA from 1 species
UACGGGGGGAGCAAGCGUUGUUCGGAUUUACUGGGCGUAAAGGGCGCGUAGGCGGCCAGCGCAAGUCAGUUGUGAAAUCUCCGGGCUUAACUCGGAAGGUCGAACUGAUACUGCGCGGCUAGAGUGCAGAAGGGGGCAACUGGAAUUCUCGGUGUAGCGGUGAAAUGCGUAGAUAUCGAGAGGAACACCUGCGGCGAAGGCGGGUUGCUGGGCUGACACUGACGCUGAGGAGCGAAAGCCAGGGGGAGCAAAACGGGG